rfam:Loxodonta africana unplaced genomic scaffold scaffold_51, whole genome shotgun sequence.
ACAUGGGUGGUUCAGUGGCAGAAUUCUUACCUGCCAUGCAGGAGGCCCAGGUUCAAUUCCCGGCCCAUGCA